GACGAACGCUGGCGGCGUGCUUAACACAUGCAAGUCGAACGGAAAGGCCCUGCUUUUGUGGGGUGCUCGAGUGGCGAACGGGUGAGUAACACGUGAGUAACCUGCCCUUGACUUUGGGAUAACUUCAGGAAACUGGGGCUAAUACCGGAUAGGAGCUCCUGCUGCAUGGUGGGGGUUGGAAAGUUUCGGCGGUCGGGGAUGGACUCGCGGCUUAUCAGCUUGUUGGUGGGGUAGUGGCUUACCAAGGCUUUGACGGGUAGCCGGCCUGAGAGGGUGACCGGCCACAUUGGGACUGAGAUACGGCCCAGACUCCUACGGGAGGCAGCAGUGGGGAAUAUUGCACAAUGGGCGGAAGCCUGAUGCAGCAACGCCGCGUGCGGGAUGACGGCCUUCGGGUUGUAGACCGCUUUCGCCUGUGACGAAGCGUGAGUGACGGUAAUGGGUAAAGAAGCACCGGCUAACUACGUG
rnacentral:rRNA from 1 species